rnacentral:rRNA from 1 species
UGGGGAAUAUUGGAUAAUGGGCGAAAGCCUGAUCCAGCAAUGCCGCGUGAGUGAUGAAGGCCUUAGGGUCGUAAAGCUCUUUUACCCGGGAUGAUAAUGACAGUACCGGGAGAAUAAGCCCCGGCUAACUCCGUGCCAGCAGCCGCGGUAAUACGGAGGGGGCUAGCGUUGUUGGGACUUACUGGGCGUAAAGCGCACGUAGGCGGCCAUUCCAGUCAGAGGUGAAAGCCCAGGGCUCAACCUUGGAACUGCCUUUGAAACUAGAUGGCUAGAAUCCUGGAGAGGCGAGUGGAAUUCCGAGUGUAGAGGUGAAAUUCGUAGAUAUUCGGAAGAACACCAGUGGCGAAGGCGACUCGCUGGACAGGUAUUGACGCUGAGGUGCGAAAGCGUGGGGAGCAAA